UGGAUCCAGACUUUGAUUAUGGCUCAGGACGAACGCUGGCGGCGCGCCUAACACAUGCAAGUCGAACGGAGUCAAGAGGAGCUUGCUUUUCUUGACUUAGUGGCGAACGGGUGAGUAACGCGUGAGUAACCUGCCCUGGAGUGGGGGACAACAGUUGGAAACGACUGCUAAUACCGCAUAAGCCCACGGAUCCGCAUGGAUCCGCGGGAAAAGGAUUUAUUCGCUUCAGGAUGGACUCGCGUCCAAUUAGCUAGUUGGUGAGGUAACGGCCCACCAAGGCGACGAUUGGUAGCCGGACUGAGAGGUUGAACGGCCACAUUGGGACUGAGACACGGCCCAGACUCCUACGGGAGGCAGCAGUGGGGGAUAUUGCACAAUGGGGGAAACCCUGAUGCAGCGACGCCGCGUGGAGGAAGAAGGUUUUCGGAUUGUAAACUCCUGUCGUUAGGGACGAUAAUGACGGUACCUAACAAGAAAGCACCGGCUAACUACGUGCCAGCAGCCGCGGUAAAACGUAGGGUGCAAGCGUUGUCCGGAAUUACUGGGUGUAAAGGGAGCGCAGGCGGACCGGCAAGUUGGAAGUGAAAACUAUGGGCUCAACCCAUAAAUUGCUUUCAAAACUGCUGGCCUUGAGUAGUGCAGAGGCAGGUGGAAUUCCCGGUGUAGCGGUGGAAUGCGUAGAUAUCGGGAGGAACACCAGUGGCGAAGGCGACCUACUGGGCACCAACUGACGCUGAGGCUCGAAAGCAUGGGUAGCAAACAGGAUUAGAUACCCUGGUAGUCCAUGCCGUAAACGAUGAUUACUAGGUGUUGGAGGAUUGACCCCUU
rnacentral:rRNA from 2 species